GUGGAUGUAAUGAUGACAUUAUAGUUCAAAUGACUGCUGUGAUAUCUAACUACGUCUUUCGCUCCUAUCUGAUGGCAUCCCU
rfam:Zootermopsis nevadensis contig2334, whole genome shotgun sequence.